UCUCAGAAGGUGGCUGUCUUUCCCAGACCGGACAGGAAAGCCCAGAUGAUUUUCGUCAUUGCAACAAGUUGCUGGAGCUGGCUGAAACCAAAUGCGGACCGCAAAGUGGUUUGUGCACAACUUUGUUGCUAUUUCAGAAGGCUUUGCCCUUUGCAGUGACACAGGCUGUUGCUAUUCUUGGGAGCCUAUUGCAGGCGAGGGGAGGGACAUCUGUCGGAAGCAUUGCUGUUGCCUUUUAACAAAUAGUUGGAAACAUCAGACAUUCAUGCACAGCACGGCGCACAUUCCUUACCCACUAGCUUAAGGGAUCUCUUUUUUUCUCUUCUCCCUCAUGAUCAUACACGUGUUUUUUUUAGCAGAGAAGGCACAUGGAGGGGAGGAUAUGGAGUGUGUGCUGUGUCAGCUGAAUUUCAGGCGCUGAGCACACAUGCAUGCAGUGUCACUUCAUUCUUUUGAGGCAUGAGCAAGUUGUGCUGAGAAACAGCAGCAAGGAAAGAAAACUAUGACAUUCCUCUGCACUCCAGGAAGGGAAAAGCUGAGAUUGUCUCAUUUUUAUGGAGGCAAAGGCUUGAUUUUGAGAGCUGCUGGAGUUGCUCCGUGCCUACUAUCUUCAGCAGAGGCAGUGACCAGAGGUGGACUACAUGAGCAAAGGAAGGCUACAGCAGAGGAAGUAAGCUGUCUUUGUGGUCUGCCUACCUCAUCCUGGUCCUGGCCCUGCUCCUCAUGCAGGAGCCUCUGCAUGCUCUCAGCAAACCCACUGGCCUUAGUGUGGCAAGUCAUCCAAGUUAACCCCAGUGGGAACUGCUGUUGUAUAAUCUGGCAGCGCUGCAGGCUCUUUGUUUGUUCUCUUUCUUUCUUUCAUGACUUGUUGUUUUGUCUUGGUUGGUUUUGUUUUAACACAGUGAUGUCUGCAUACAGUGUGGGAGGGAAGGAAGAUGUGGAAAGUUGGUGGCUUUGACAGUAUUUCUAAGAAGGAGGAGUGCUAAACAUUUUUUUUUUUUCCUGGAGUAGGCAUGACACACCUUUUAUCAGUGCUUGCCUAACAAGAAAAUGUGACAAAAGACUGUGAUACUUCCCCUUCUGACAGAUAUACCGCUGUCAGCUUCAGACACUGAAGAAGCAGUGAUGCUGCAGGAGUAUGGAUUCCAGGGGGUUUGGUUUCGGCAGCACUUUUGGUACAGAGAUGAUAAAUGAGUAUGGCGACCUCUGCUCUAAUGUGCAAUGUAUUUUCCAUGUAAAAUGCUCACCUGCCAAAUAGGACAGGAUGCUGCCAGGACUGGUAACAGCUUCUUGCCUUUUCCAGAGAGAUGUUACUUCAUCAU
rnacentral:lncRNA from 1 species